rnacentral:rRNA from 1 species
GCUUUGGCAGCGGCCAAAGGUUUUAUACGAAUAGCGGCAAACGGGUGAGUAACGCGUGGGUAACCUACCGCGGGGAGGGGCAUUGCUUCGAGAAAUCGGAGGUAAUUCCCCAUAUAAUCCGGCAUCGUUUGGUGCUGGAUGAAAGAUGGCCUCUGUUUAUAUGCUGUCGCCUUGUGAGGGGCCCGCGUCCUAUCAGGUUGUUGGUGAGGUAAUGGCUCACCAAGCCAAAGACGGGUAGCUGGCGUAAGAGCGUGACCAGCCACAUCGGGACUGAGACACUGCCCGGACUCCUACGGGAGGCUGCAGUCGAGAAUCUUUCACAAUGGACGAAAGUCUGAUGAUGCGACGCCGCGUGGGGGAUGAAGGUUUUCGGAUUGUAAACCCAUUUUAUUGAGGAGGAACGUUUUGCGGUGAAUAUCCGCAAAGCUCGACUGUACUCGUUGAAUAAGCCACGGCUAACUCCGUGCCAGCAGCCGCGGUAAUACGGAGGUGGCAAGCGUUACUCGGUUUGACUGGGUGUAAGGGGUCCGCAGGCGGCCAUGUGUGUAAUAGGUGAAAUCUUUCGGCUUAACCGAAAAACUGCCUAUUAAACUGCAUGGCUUGAGGAUGGAAGAGGAGAGCGGAACUGUUGGUGUAAAGGUGAAAUUUGUGGAUAUCAACAGGAACGCCCGUGGAGAAGUCGGCUCUCUGGUCCAUAUCUGACGCUCAGGGACGAAAGCUAGGGGAGCGAACAGGAUUAGAUACCCUGGUAGUCCUAGCUGUAAACGAUGGGCACUAGGUGUUCGCCUUUUUGGUGAGUGCCAAAGCUAACGCAUUAAGUGCCCCACCUGGGGACUACGGUCGCAAGGCUAAAACUCAAAGGAAUUGACGGGGGCCCGCACAAGCGGUGGAACACGUGGUUUAAUUCGAUGCUACGCGAGGAACCUUAUCCAGGGUUUGACAUGCAGGAAGUAGUGCCCCGAAAGGGGUUACCACCAGUAACCAGUCUGGAACUUGCACAGGUGCUGCAUGGCUGUCGUCAGCUCGUGCCGUGAGGUGUUCCCUUAAGUGGGAUAACGAGCGCAACCCUCGUCUUUAGUUGCCACUUUAGACUACGGUUUAAAAGCACUCUAAAGAGACUGCCCGCGUUAAGUGGGAGGAAGGUGAGGACGACGUCAAGUCCGCAUGGCCUUUAUGUCCUGGGCUACACACGUGUUACAAUGCCUGUUACAAAGGGCGGCGAAGCCGCGAGGUGAAGCAAAUCCCAAAAAAGCAGGCUCAGUUCGGAUUGUAGGCUGCAAAUCGCCUGCAUGAAGUUGGAAUCGCUAGUAAUGGCGCAUCAGAACGGCGCCGUGAAUACGUUCCCGGGCCUUGUACACACCGCCCGUCAAGCGCUGAAAGUCGGGGGCGCCCGAAGACCAGAUUAUUCUGGUUCACGGUGAACUUGGUGAUUGGCGCUAAGUCGUAACAAGGUA